UCUAUAAAGACACAGACGGGGUAAAAAUAUGAAAUGGACCAGAGAAAUCAGAGCAGGCACCAGCCAACCUGCAGUGUUUUUUGACCACCUCUAAACGGGAAGGGUGUAACCAUUUGCUCAUGACAGAAAGAAUCAAAGGAGAAGUCAAACAAUGUAUGGCCUAAUCAAUAUCGCUACCCUAUAAAUAUAAAGCUGAUUGAAGAAAACAGAAAACAUGCUAAGGGAAAUAUAUCUUCAGGCAGUGCUAAGAUUUCUGUGGUUUUAUGUUGGACAGCAUCUUGAGAAAGUGAACAUAUGAAGAUCAACAGCCUUAUGCCUUUACUAGUUGCUCAGAAGAUAUUCUCAGUCUUUUGUUCAAGAGCAACAGCAUAUGGUAUAAAAGAGCAAUUCCAGAAUGGCUCGAGAGUCACUGAAACCAAGCGAGACAAUGGAUUUAUGAUUAGGACCUAAGCCAUGCCUAACUCUUUCCCUACGUGAAAGCAGAUCCAGUUUCUGUUUGAAGUUCCUUCACUGCCAUUUCGCAUGUGACAAUGGUGGCCCCAAACCCUGAGGACUGUGAGCACACGUCAUGUCUUAG